GAUUCGUCACACUAUCAUUAACUGAAUCCAUAGGUUAAUGAGGCGAACCGGGGGAACUGAAACAUCUAAGUACCCCGAGGAAAAGAAAUCAACCGAGAUUCCCCCAGUAGCGGCGAGCGAACGGGGAGGAGCCCAGAGCCUGAAUCAGCAUGUGUGUUAGUGGAAGCGUCUGGAAAGGCGCGCGAUACAGGGUGACAGCCCCGUACACAAAAGCGCAUGUGCUGUGAGCUCGAUGAGUAGGGCGGGACACGUGGUAUCCUGUCUGAAUAUGGGGGGACCAUCCUCCAAGGCUAAAUACUCCUGACUGACCGAUAGUGAACCAGUACCGUGAGGGAAAGGCGAAAAGAACCCCGGCGAGGGGAGUGAAAAAGAACCUGAAACCGUGUACGUACAAGCAGUGGGAGCACCCUUCGGGGUGUGACUGCGUACCUUUUGUAUAAUGGGUCAGCGACUUAUAU
rnacentral:rRNA from 2 species